rnacentral:rRNA from 1 species
UACGUAGGUGGCAAGCGUUAUCCGGAAUUAUUGGGCGUAAAGCGCGCGUAGGCGGUUUUUUAAGUCUGAUGUGAAAGCCCACGGCUCAACCGUGGAGGGUCAUUGGAAACUGGAAAACUUGAGUGCAGUAGAGGAAAGUGGAAUUCUCAGUGUAGCGGUGAAAUGCGUAGAUAUUGAGAAGAACACCAGUAGCGAAGGCGGCUUUCUGGUCUGUAACUGACGCUGAUGUGCGAAAGCGUGGGGAUCAAACAGG